rnacentral:lncRNA from 1 species
UUGUUCUGUGGGUCUCAAAGGUAAGUGUCUGAAAGCUUAAAGGUGCAAAAGGCAAAGUAUAGCUUCAGACCUGGACUGCAACCCCGAAUGCACUGGGCGUUAGAGGAGAGUGGGGUGAAUGCAGCUCUGAAGUGAAAGAUCCGAUGUCCCGCUGCACUGUGAGCUGAGCCGAGGCAGACGAACAGCCCUGCGGACCGGUGCUGUCAGUGCAGAGCCGGGAGAGUCAGACGUGCAGAACCACACACUCACAGUCGCUGGCCCCGCUGCUUGCUGCUCCAGCUGUUGGUGCUGUGUCACAGGAUGCCAGACCCCCGAGCGCGGGGCUUCCAGCACCCUCUCACAGAGCAACACACCUACAGCGUCGCGGAGAGCAUGUCAGGAUAGGGAGUGUGUUAAGAGCAUGCAGUCACAAUGAAUCUCAAUUUUAAGUAGUCCAAUCACAAUGCCACAGCAAAAACAUGUUUAUAAAGUUAAUCCCUAGCCUUGACAAGUGUAAAAAAAGAUGGACAACACAAGACAUUGACAAAGGUCUUGAGCCCAUAGGUUGAUUUUGCAGCAGGACAAUGCAAGAUCAUGCAGUGGUAAGAUUGAAAGGACACAACUUCACUUGUUGUGGGCUUUCUCCAAGGCAGAGUUACUCAAAAUAGGAGACAACCGUCCGGCCUUCAUCAGCUGUCUGCAGCUGCACAGGAAGAAUGUCAGAACAUCCCACAGCAGUCUGUCCAGAGGCUGACCAGGUG